CCUACGGGAGGCAGCAGUGAGGAAUAUUGGUCAAUGGACGAGAGUCUGAACCAGCCAAGUAGCGUGAAGGAUGACUGCCCUAUGGGUUGUAAACUUCUUUUAUAUGGGAAUAAAAUGUUCCACGUGUGGGAUUUUGUAUGUACCAUAUGAAUAAGGAUCGGCUAACUCCGUGCCAGCAGCCGCGGUAAUACGGAGGAUCCGAGCGUUAUCCGGAUUUAUUGGGUUUAAAGGGAGCGUAGGUGGAUUGUUAAGUCAGUUGUGAAAGUUUGCGGCACAACCGUAAAAUUGCAGUUGAAACUGGCAGUCUUGAGUACAGUAGAGGUGGGCGGAAUUCGUGGUGUAGCGGUGAAAUGCUUAGAUAUCACGAAGAACUCCGAUUGCGAAGGCAGUUCACUGGACUGCAACUGACACUGAGGCUCGAAAGUGUGGGUAUCAAACAGGAUUAGAUACCCGUGUAGUC
rnacentral:rRNA from 1 species